rnacentral:ncRNA from 2 species
AGACAGUUAUAUGACUGACGGAAGUGGAGAAUACCACAGGGAGUAUAACUGAUAUGCAGCCGACCGUCUGGGCAGAUUGU